AGGGGCCUCCCUCGCCAGGGACCCGGCGCCGUCUUCCUCACGCAGGCCUGUGUUCCUCGCAGCGGCAGCUCACGCCACCAGCCUCAGAGCCCGCCUCCCGCCUGUCUCCGCCAGCCGGUGCCUCCCGCUGACACCCGCCCCGGACGCCUGCCGCCACCACCGCCCUCCGCCGCCUUCGCCAACGCUCACUGACGCCCAGCGCUCUCCGCUGCCAGAUGCCCUCAGACUCCUGCCGCCGCCACCAGAGGCCCUCUUGCCAGGGACCCGGCUCCCUUGUUCUCACGCAGGCCUCGCCAACUUGCAGCAGCCUCAGCUCAUAGUCUCCACAGGGAACAACUUCAUCUCUCUGAACUCAACUAAUGAAAGUUCUACUUGAUCCAUUUCUGCAAACAUCUGCUGCUCUCUACCUCCAGGGUCACACGAGGCAGAAGGACCCAGAGCGGAGGCGCCUGUAGGGCCUUGGUUCCAGGACGGGACAGCUUGCGACAGGGUCCCCGUGAGGAGCACACCCCCUUUGUGCCCCGAAUGCAGAGGAGGAGGCUGGGCCGCCGCUUCUCCAGGCCUUUGACCUUCACCUGCAGACCAGAGCCUUCCCUUCUGUGCCAUCCCCCGUGGCUGACUCUACGUCUUCAGGUAAGGAGACUU